GACGAACGCUGGCGGCGUGCUUAACACAUGCAAGUCGAACGGAAAGGCCCUGCUUUUGUGGGGUGCUCGAGUGGCGAACGGGUGAGUAACACGUGAGUAACCUGCCCUUGACUUUGGGAUAACUUCAGGAAACUGGGGCUAAUACCGGAUAGGAGCUCCUGCUGCAUGGUGGGGGUUGGAAAGUUUCGGCGGUUGGGGAUGGACUCGCGGCUUAUCAGCUUGUUGGUGGGGUAGUGGCUUACCAAGGCUUUGACGGGUAGCCGGCCUGAGAGGGUGACCGGCCACAUUGGGACUGAGAUACGGCCCAGAGUCCUACGGGAGGCAGCAGUGGGGAAUAUUGCACAAUGGGCGGAAGCCUGAUGCAGCAACGCCGCGUGCGGGAUGACGGCCUUCGGGUUGUAAACCGCUUUCGCCUGUGACGAAGCGUGAGUGACGGUAAUGGGUAGAGAAGCACCGGCUAACUACGUG
rnacentral:rRNA from 1 species